rnacentral:rRNA from 1 species
AGUGAACGCUGGCGGUGGGCCUAACACAUGCAAGUCGAACGGCAGCACAGUAAGAGCUUGCUCUUACGGGUGGCGAGUGGCGGACGGGUGAGGAAUACAUCGGAAUCUACUUUUUCGUGGGGGAUAACGUAGGGAAACUUACGCUAAUACCGCAUACGACCUACGGGUGAAAGCAGGGGAUCUUCGGACCUUGCGCGAUUGAAUGAGCCGAUGUCGGAUUAGCUAGUUGGCGGGGUAAAGGCCCACCAAGGCGACGAUCCGUAGCUGGUCUGAGAGGAUGAUCAGCCACACUGGAACUGAGACACGGUCCAGACUCCUACGGGAGGCAGCAGUGGGGAAUAUUGGACAAUGGGCGCAAGCCUGAUCCAGCCAUACCGCAUGGGUGAAGAAGGCCUUCGGGUUGUAAAGCCCUUUUGUUGGGAAAGAAAAGCAGCAGGUUAAUACCCCGCUGUUCUGACGGUACCCAAAGAAUAAGCACCGGCUAACUUCGUG